CCUACGGGGGGCUGCAGUGGGGAAUAUUGGACAAUGGGGGGAACCCUGAUCCAGCCAUGCCGCGUGUGUGAAGAAGGCCCUCGGGUUGUAAAGCACUUUCAGUGAGGAAGAACGCCUGGUGGUUAAUACCCAUCAGGAAAGACAUCACUCACAGAAGAAGCACCGGCUAACUCCGUGCCAGCAGCCGCGGUAAUACGGAGGGUGCGAGCGUUAAUCGGAAUUACUGGGCGUAAAGCGCGCGUAGGUGGCUUGAUAAGCCGGUUGUGAAAGCCCCGGGCUCAACCUGGGAACGGCAUCCGGAACUGUCAAGCUAGAGUGCAGGAGAGGAAGGAAGAAUUCCCGGUGUAGCGGUGAAAUGCGUAGAGAUCGGGAGGAAUACCAGUGGCGAAGGCGGCCUUCUGGACUGACACUGACACUGAGGUGCGAAAGCGUGGGUAGCAAACAGGAUUAGAUACCCUUGUAGUC
rnacentral:rRNA from 1 species